rnacentral:rRNA from 1 species
AACGAACGCUGGCGGCAGGCUUAACACAUGCAAGUCGAACGCCCCGCAAGGGGAGUGGCAGACGGGUGAGUAACGCGUGGGAACAUACCCUUUACUGCGGAAUAGCUCUGGGAAACUGGAAUUAAUACCGCAUACGCCCUACGGGAGAAAGAUUUAUCGGGGAAGGAUUGGCCCGCGUUGGAGUAGCUAGUUGGUGGGGUAAAGGCCUACCAAGGCGACGAUCCAUAGCUGGUCUGAGAGGAUGAUAAGCCACAUUGGGACUGAGACACGGCCCAAAAUCCUACGGGAGGCAGCCAUGGGGAAUAUUGGACAAUGGGCUCAAGCCUGAUCCAGCCGUGCCGCGUGAGUGAUGAAGGCCUUAGGGUUGUAAAGCUCUUUCACCGAUGAAGAUAAUGACGGUAGUCGGAGAAGAAGCCCCGGCUAACUUCGUGCCAGCAGCCGCAGUAACAC